rnacentral:lncRNA from 1 species
CACCACACUCGUUUCCUCCACCCUAAGGCAGCACGCUCGAACCCAGCGACCUUACUUCAAUCGCGACACAUGAAACACGCAUGCACACAGGCGCAACAGGAGGGCAGCAGCAGUGAAAGAUCGGGAGUGAAAGGGAGGUGACAAGUGGCGUUCUAAAAGUCGAUGGAACAGUAGUCUCGAUAUAGGUUCGUUCGAGCUGUCCGUCUGCGAAUCCGAGGUGCCGAUGCGAUGUCCGUCGUUGAAUGUUGUCACGCUUUCGGUGAGUUUUGAGGCGUCCAUGUCGAGGUUCCGGUUAGUUAGUUUCGUUGUUUCAGCUCGCCGAUCAUGGCUCUGUUUGGUUCGACGAUCGAUUGGUAAACUUCCAGCUCUAUUCAUCAACAUAGAGGUUCAUCUCUAACCUCUGUUUUGAGUUAAUAUUGGUUGCUAUUUUUUUUUGAGUUUGUGUUAAGCAUGUUACGGAUUUUGUUUAAUCUUUUGAGUUUUAGCUUUGUGUUUAUAUUAUUGCUAUCUCGAAUUGGCGUGUUAAAUGGACGUAUCAAUGCGCAUGUAUGGGUUGAUGUUCUUAGCCUCUGUUGCGACAAUGUUUUUGUUAAAUUUUUUUAAACUCAAUCUUGGUUCUCUUUCUGAUCCUUCCUUCGAUAUCUGGGACUAUCAAAGGAAUAGUUAUUUUAAAGUUGGGGCAGUAUGCAAAUUCCUUGUGGAAGGUAUUUUAAUUUAGUUUAAAGUAGAUUGCUCCUAAAACUCACUUUGUCGUUUUCUUUAAUUACAAAAAUAAUUUAUUUGUCUCCUAGUGUUUAAGGUUGAGAUAAUUUGUUCAAAUUUUAUGUUAGCUUCCAGUUUCCAUACUUAUCCAUAGCAUUGUAUUGUAGUUGUUAAAUGGAUGGAGGAUAUGCUUUAAGCGCGAUCAAUAAUAAAUCAUCGUGGCUAUGGGUACGGUUUUCGUGGCAUGGUCAUGAUACAUAAAUUCAAAUUCGGGUGCGCAUUUAUGUUACCCAAAUUCAAAUCUCAACAACGUUAUAUAAAAUGUGUCGUGGACCGCGGGUGCAUUUAUGUGACGUGGUUCAAGACGCAUUUUAUGUGACGUUGAAUCUUCCUAAAAAUAUGUAAAUAAAAGCGAUUAUAAAGUUAAAAUUGCACCAUAGGCUAAAACAUGUUUUAAAAUCGAAUAAAUAGGCCAAUAAUAACAGUUGAGUGACCGUGCUAAAACCACGGAAUCCGGGAAUGCCUAACACAUUCUUCCGGAUUAACAGAAUUCCUUAUUCGGUUUUCUGUGUUCGCAAACUAUAAAAUAGAGUCACUCUUUUCCUCGAUUCGGGAUUUGAACCGGUGACUUGGGACACCAUAAAAUUAUCCCAAGUGGUGACUCUGAAUUUAAUAAAUAAAUAAUCCUGUUUCGAUUGUCACUUAAAUUGGAAAAAACUCUCUUAUAUGCCCAGGGUGUAGGUAAAAAGGAGGUGUGACACUAAUAACAAUGAUAUUAAUGUUAUUACAUGGCAUGCAAGAUUAGGUCACAUAUGGCAGGAUCGAAUGAAUAGAUUGGCUGAGGAAGGACAUCUAUGUUCUUUCUCUAAAAUUGAAAUGCCAACUUGUGAAAAUUGUCUUGCCGGAAAGAUUACACAUAAACCAUUUGGAAAGGCUAAAAGAGUUAAUUUUCCAUUGAAAUUAAUUCAUUCUGAUAUUUGUGGUCCAAUGAAUGUGAGGGCUAGGUCUGGUGCUUUAUAUUUUAUUAUGUUCAUUGAAGAUUUCGCGCGCUUUGGUUAUGUCUAUUUGAUUUCUCAUAAAUCUGAAGCACUUGAAUGCUUUAAGAAAUAUAUGAAUGAAGUUGAGAAUCAAUUAGAUAAAAGGAUUAAGACCUUAUGAACCGACAGAGGGCGUGAAUAUCUUUCAAAAGAAUUUGAAGAAUUGUGCAAUAAAAAAGGAAUCACCAGACAAUUAACUAUUCUGUACACAUCUUAACAAAAUUGUGUAGCAGAAAGGAGGAAUAGAACACUACUGGACAUGAUAAGGUCCAUGAUGGCACAGGCAAAUUUACCUAUGUCCUUUUGGGGAGAUGCGUUAUUGACUGCAACUUACAUAUUGAACAAAGCGCCCUCUAAAUCAAUUUCUCCCACUCCUUAUGAGCUAUAGACUGGUCAUAAACCAAACUUAAAGGAUUUACGACCUUGGAGUUGUGCUGCAUAUGUAAAAGAUUCUUUUAGCAAGUUUGAUAAAUUAGGUCCAAAAGGCAAGAAAUUUAUCUUUAUAAGAUAUUCAGAACACUCCAAAGGGUAUGUGCUCAUUGGUAAAUUAGAGGAUGGAAGUGUUAGUGAGAUUGAAUCACGAGAUGUCACAUUUCUGAAAAAUGAUUUUCCAAAGAAGGGCGAGGUAAAGAAUAUAGAGCCUCUUUAUGAAAUGUUGAACUCAGAUAGUCAACAAGUGUCUUCUGACAUAGUUGAUAAUCGAAUUGACCAAGAUCUUAUUUUUGAUCCGAGUGGGAGUGGGAACUCUCAAUCCCAAAAUCCUUCUGACGAACCUGAAUUUCAACUACAAAAGAGUGCCAGAAAAAAUAUACCCAAAUGUAGUUAUGACAUUAAAGAUUAUGUUUUCUUGGUAUCUCCCACAGAAAUGGAUGAGCCAAAGUCUAUGGCUGAGGCUUUAUCGAGCCCUAGAAAAGAUGAGUAGAUGAAAACAAUGAAAAUUUAGAGUCCAUGAAAACCAACAAAGUCUGAGAUCUAGUUGACCUUCCGCAUGGGCAUAGAGCCAUUGGGAACAAAUGGGCUCUCAAAGUUAAAGGCAAAGAGGAUGGGUCAACAGAAUGAUAUAAGGCACGAUUGGUGGCAAAAGGCUUUACUCAAGAAGCUGGAAUAGAUUGUGAGGAAACAUUUUCACUAAUUGUGAAGUUUACCUCAAUUCGCUUACUUUUGGCUAUUGUUGCACGUUUGGAUUUGGAAUUACAUCAAAUGGACGUGAAGACAGAUUUUCUCAAUGGAGAACUGAAUGAAGAAAUCUACAUGAAACAACCUGUAGGCUUCAUCGUUAAAGGCCAAGAAAAGCAGGUCUGUAAAUUGAAAAUAUCUAUAUAUGGUAUGAAGCAAUCAUCAAGGCACUGGUAUUUGAGAUUUCACAAGGAGGUGAUCUCAUAUGAUUUUACCAUGAUCAAUGAAGACUAUUACAUUUAUGUGAAGAACUCCAAUGGGAUGUUUGUAAUUCUUUCUCUUUAUGUGGACGAUAUUUUAUUGGUCUGAAACAAUUUGGAGUAUUUAAAAACUAUCAAGUCAUGGCUUUCAAAGUCAUUUGACAUGAAAGAUAUGGGUGAGACAUACUAUAUCCUUGGAGUUAAGAUCCAAAGAGAUUGUUCCAAAAAGUUAUUGAGCCUAUCUCAAGAAACUUAUAUAAAGAAAAUUUUAGAGCAUUUUCGCAUGAAUGGUUGCAAAUCUAUGGAUUCUCCUAUAGCGAGAGGUGAAACUUUAAGCCUUGAAAUGUGUCUCAAGACUAAAAAUGAAAAGAAAGACAUAUCUCGAGUUCUAUAUUCAAGUGUUGUCGGGAGCUUGAUGUACGCUAUGAUGUGUACUCGCCCAACCAUUUGUUAUGUCGUAGAUCUAGUUAGCAGGUAUCAAUCCAAUCCUGGAAGAGAUCAUUGGAAAGAUGUGAAGAGAAUUUUUAGAUACCUGAAGGGAACUGCAGAUUAUUCACUAUGUUAUAGUGGAAAUGAUUUAUACUUGAGAGGAUAUACAGAUGUUGAUUGGGCUGGUGAUCGGAAUGAUAGAAUAUCAACAUCCAGUUAUGCCUUCGUACUUAAUGGUGGUGCUAUAUCAUGGAAAAGUAAGAAACAAACUUGUACAACCCUUUCAACAAUGGAAGUUGAGUUCGUGGCUUGUGCAUCUGCAGUACAAGAAGCUGGUGCAGUACAAGAAGUUGUUUGGUUUAAGAGAUUCUUUGAGCAUUUGAAUAUUACAAAGAACUCUCAGGGUCCCAUGACUCUAUAUUGUGAUAGUCAAGCGGCUAUUUCAUAUACAAAAGAUCCUAAGAAUCACAGCAAGACCAAACACAUUGACAUCAAGUAUAACUUUGUAAGAGACAUGGUAGCAAGUAGAGAGAUAAAUUUACAGUACAUUCCUACGCGAAGCAUGAUAGCUGAUCCUUUUACAAAGGUGAUAUCUAGAGACAUGUUUGAGAAACAUGUUAUGGCUCUAGGUUUGCGAAGGAUAUGAACAUAUUUAUGCAUUGUAAAAUAACUUUAGUAUUAUAAUAUGCUCAUCAAUAUUUGACUCUUCAAAUUUGCUUAUAUCUUGUAUGCAUGUGAUGAAUGUUUUGUUAAUAAAGUGUGUCGAACAAGUUGCGAGAUUGGCUCUCUCACACGAGCAAUCGCCUCUUACGUUAAGAAUCAUGAAGAGAUGAGACCUUAUAGAACCUUGGAUAAUGCGGGGUUAUAUUUACUUGUAGAGGUCAUUCUUGAUAGCUUACGAAUUUCACUAUUCGAUUAUGACUUGUUUUGUAAGCCAGAUACGAGUUUUUCUAAGAAGAUGGUUUGAGGUAUUGAAGUGAGAAACUCGGGUUAGACACUUGAAGGUGUCUAGACCAAGAUUUGUAUGGUGUUGGAUGAUUAAAAGAAUAAGACGCACGCGCCAAUACAAGGUGAGAAUACCGUACCAUGUGUUUCAUACCACGUGUGAUAUCGACCAAUGGGAUAAUGGAAGAAUGAGUCCAUACUUCUUCAUCGUGUGAGAUCCCAAAGAAGUUACAUUAACUUUUAUUGGAAUACCCUUUGACCUUUUACUGUUUUUUGAAAUGACAAUCAGUGUUGCUACUUUAGCAUGUUACUAUAGCCAUGAGUGAUUCGGCAAUGCAGUGCAUAUCUAGGAAAGCAGUUGAUUUGGAAUGAAAAAAUUCGAGUAGAAAGGGAAGACAAAUAAAUAAUUUUUUUGUAAUUUAACUUGUAUUCAUAGGUCGACCAUUACACUUAAAAUGAGGGUUUCAAAUGUAAUUAUGAAUACAAAGUUAAACAUGGACUCGAGUUCACCUCUUUCAAGGAUGAGGGAUUAAAUAACUAGCUACUAGAGUAACAGGUGAUGUCUGGGGUAUUGCGAGUAACAAGAUCCUCAUGUUAGUAGUAAAUCUCUUCCGCAUGUGAUUGGAUUUCUACAUAGAGCUGUUAAACAACCUUAAAGGGAUGAAGAAUAUUAUGGCUCUUAAUGCUCGCAGGUCGCACGAACUAUUUGCCGGUAUGAAUUAUGUAUGUUGUUUUCAUGGUAGUUACUAGUUUGGAUCUAGUCCUCCUGUGCAAAGUGGGAGAUGUUAGAUAUAAGGUUUGGGUCGUGGAUCGCCCAUGUGGACUGACCCGACCCGUUUUAAAAGAGAUAAAACUUAAGGAGGUUACAAACAUAGGUUUUAUUACUCCUAAAACCACCGCACGUUAUUUUGAAAGACGUGAGAACGUGGAGUGGUGGUUUUCAUCGAUAGUUUUUCCUAUUCCUCUUCUAUAUAUUUGUUCUAUAGAAGAACUAUCAAAGAAGAAUGCAUGUGAAAAACUUUCUCUUCUUCGCCCAACAAAAAUCACAUACACAAAAAGGAAGGCUUUUAGUUUGUGAAUUAAACUUUGUUUCCAUAUGGUUCAAAGUUCGACUUGAGGCAAUUCUUUUAGUGGUGAGUUCAACGAUUUCCGCUGCGUCAAUAAGGUACAUAACUCAUUGUUCUCGCCCCUCAUUUUUAUUCAACAUAUUCAAAAGGGACCGGAGUGAUAUAUUACUUAUAGUAUAUAGGAAGGAUAUAAAUGGCUUGUCUCGGUGCAACAUGUGUAUGUGGGAGUGGAGGGCUGUCUCAGAUGCAUCUGAGUUGGGAGUGUGUGGUGUGCUGUUGAGUUAGAAUCCAAUGCCUAAUUUUAAUUUGUCAGAUUUGGAACAUAGUUUCUUAUCAACACGAGUUUAAUAAAAUAACUGAAUAUUCUAUUCCAUUUUCAAGAUUUAGUUUUAUUAAUAUUCCUACAUGUGCUUUAGAUCUCACAUUUCGGCUGAAAUUAAACUGUUCUGAAGAUCCUAUAACAAGAUCCUUCGGAUUUUUAGCUUUCAAACCAACAGUCCUCAAGUUAUACAGUUACUCCCGCAAUGUAACAAGAGACAUCAAUCUCAAGAUCUAUUCUUAAAUUAUUUCAGGAUAAGUAACUUUAACUACUAGGUUUAUUCUUCUUUACUGGCUGCAGGGCCGGAUCUAUGUAGGGGAUUCGGGGUGCCACGCCACCCGAUCGCUCGGAUAAAAUUUUAUAUAUGUAUAGGUAUUUUACAUAAUAAAGCCUUUAUAAGCAGAGAUUGGCACCCGAAAUCGCAAAAUGGCUCAAGGUGCCAUGGUUAAACUGCUGAAGCCCCACACGGAAGAUGCAUUAUCGAACCUUGUUAGAUGUACAAUUCAGUAUAUUACUGUUUGUCCCUACUUUUUUCGCUUUUCUUUCUUUUCUUCCUGCUCCUUUAGUUAAUUUCUUUUAUCUGUUCAUCUUUUUAUUUCCUCUCCUUGUACAAGUUCAUUUUUAAU